GAGUUUGAUCCUGGCUCAGAACGAACGCUGGCGGCGUGCUUAACACAUGCAAGUCAGGGAGAAAGUCUCUUCGGGGAUGAUUAAACCGGCGCACGGGUGAGUAACACGUGAGUGACCUGCCUUUUAGACUGGAACAACUUACCGAAAGGUGAGCUAAUGCCGGAUGAGUUAUAUAAGUGCAUGUUUAUAUAGGAAAAGUUGGGGAGACCUGACGCUGAAAGAUGGACUCGCGUCCCAUUAGCUAGUUGGUAGGGUAAUGACCUACCAAGGCGACGAUGGGUAGCCGGCCUGAGAGGGUGGCCGGCCACACUGGGACUGAGACACGGCCCAGACUCCUACGGGAGGCAGCAGUGGGGAAUUUUGCGCAAUGCUCGUAAGAGUGACGCAGCGACGCCGCGUGAAUGACGAAGGCCUUCGGGUCGUAAAGUUCUUUCGACAGGGAAGAAAAUGCCUAUAAGUAACUGUGUAUGUAUUGACGGUACCUGUAUAAGCAGCCCCGGCUAACUCCGUGCCAGCAACCGCGGUAAUACGGAGGGGGCGAGCGUUGUUCGGAGUGACUGGGCGUAAAGAGCACGUAGGCGGUGUUGUAAGUCAUUAGUCAAAGACUAGAGCUCAACUUUAGUAAGGCUAGCGAUACUAUA
rnacentral:rRNA from 1 species